rnacentral:lncRNA from 1 species
CUGUCACGGGCUUAGUGUUUUCUACCAACGAACCGUGCGGCACUAGCUACUUUCUCGCGGAAACAAGUCAGCUAGUCAGCCUACUCUUCCUUAUGCUAGGCAAAAUGCUAGCUAGGAUGGCAAGAAGAACAAAAGGAAGCUUAAGAAAGCUUAGAGAGAGGAUUUCUAGAGAGAGAAACUCUGAAUAUUUACUUGAUGUAGCUUAUUGCUUGUUUUUAGCUUGAUACUUACAAAUGAAUUCUCUAAGCUAUAUAUAGGCCUCCACCUCCUCAAUGGACGGUGAUGAUUCAUUCGAUCUAAUGGCUAAGAUUAAGUAUCUAGAAUGUUCUACACACUUCCAUACUUAUCUACACAUUAUACAUGCAUUCUAGAUUAUUCUAAAAUGUUCCAGAUGUUUCCAGAUGAUUCUAGAAUGUUCUAGAAUCCUCUCUUGCUUUGUAGCGAACUCUGGAGGCUUCCUGGGCCAUUGAACCUUCGUGCGAGAAGGGGAAAUAUUCGGGCUGUGACAUUCUCCCCCACUCAUCCUGGCGACGCCCUCGUCGCGUCCCCGCUGUAUGCCUUGAUUAUGCCCUUUAAGUUUCUUGGCAAAUCUUCGGUCUUGAUGGGGAAGGAGCUUUACCAUCAUUAAGCCUCCCUCCUCAAACUCUGAAUGACUCUUCUUUCCAUCCGCCCACUUCUU